GACGAACGCUGGCGGCGUGCUUAACACAUGCAAGUCGAACGGAAAGGCCUCUUUCGGGGGGUACUCGAGUGGCGAACGGGUGAGUAACACGUGAGUAACCUGCCCUUGACUUUGGGAUAACUUCAGGAAACUGGGCUAAUAACCGAAAAGGAGUUCCGGCGGCAGGGGGGGGGUUGGAAAGUUCCGGCGGUUGGGGAUGGAUUCGCGGCUUAUCAGCUUGUGGGUGGGGAAGUGGCUUACCAAGGCUUUGACGGGUAGACGGACUGAGGGGGUGACGGCCCACAUUGGGACUGAGAUACGGCCCAGACUCCUACGGGAGGCAGCAGUGGGGAAUAUUGCACAAUGGGUGGAAGCCUGAUGCAGCAACGCCGUGUGCGGGAUGACGGCCUUCGGGUUGUAAACCGCUUUCGCUCAUGACGAAGCUUUGUGUGACGGUAGUGGGUAAAGAAGCACCGGCUAACUACGUG
rnacentral:rRNA from 1 species